rnacentral:snoRNA from 1 species
GGGUCAAUGAUUAAAUCUUUGCCUUGUCUCUAUAGAGUUGCUGUCUUAAAAGUCAUGUGCAAUAGAGUUACGCUGAGGACC